AUACGGAGGGUGCGAGCGUUAAUCGGAAUUACUGGGCGUAAAGCGUGCGUAGGCGGUUUGCUAAGUCAGAUGUGAAAGCCCCGGGCUUAACCUGGGAACUGCAUUUGAUACUGGCAGACUAGAGUAUGAUAGAGGGGGGUAGAAUUCCUGGUGUAGCGGUGAAAUGCGUAGAUAUCAGGAGGAAUACCAGUGGCGAAGGCGGCCCCCUGGAUCGAUACUGACGCUGAGGUACGAAAGCGUGGGGAGCGAACAGGAUUAGAAACCCUAGUAGUCC
rnacentral:rRNA from 1 species